rnacentral:rRNA from 1 species
AACGCGAAGAACCUUACCUGCCCUUGACAUCCCGGUGACCACAGAGUAAUGUCUGUUUUCCUUCGGGACACCGGUGACAGGUGGUGCAUGGUUGUCGUCAGCUCGUGUCGUGAGAUGUUGGGUUAAGUCCCGCAACGAGCGCAACCCUUAUCUUCAGUAGCCAGCGGUACGGCCGGGCACUCUGGAGAGACUGCCAGGGAUAACCUGGAGGAAGGUGGGGAUGACGUCAAAUCAUCAUGCCCCUUAUGGGCAGGGCUACACACGUGCUACAAUGGCGUAAACAAAGGGAGGCAGAGCCGCGAGGCCGAGCAAAUCUCAAAAAUAACGUCUCAGUUCGGAUUGUAGUCUGCAACUCGACUACAUGAAGCUGGAAUCGCUAGUAAUCGCGAAUCAGAAUGUCGCGGUGAAUACGUUCCCGGGUCUUGUACACACCG